rnacentral:rRNA from 1 species
GUGGGGAAUCUUAGACAAUGGGGGCAACCCUGAUCUAGCCAUGCCGCGUGAGUGAUGAAGGCCUUAGGGUCGUAAAGCUCUUUCGCCGGGGAAGAUAAUGACUGUACCCGGUAAAGAAACCCCGGCUAACUCCGUGCCAGCAGCCACGGUAAUACGGAGGGGGUUAGCGUUGUUCGGAAUUACUGGGCGUAAAGCGCGCGUAGGCGGAUCGGAAAGUUGGGGGUGAAAUCCCGGGGCUCAACCCCGGAAUUGCCUUCAAAACUCCCGGUCUUGAGGUCGAGAGAGGUGAGUGGAAUUCCGAGUGUAGAGGUGAAAUUCGUAGAUAUUCGGAGGAACACCAGUGGCGAAGGCGGCUCACUGGCUCGAUACUGACGCUGAGGUGCGAAAGCGUGGGGAGCAAACAGGAUUAGAUACCCUAGUAGUCC